rnacentral:lncRNA from 1 species
ACGUGCACCUUAUCAGCAUAAAUCUGGCAUUUAUGACACUUCCGCACGAAAUUGAAACAUUGGGCCUCCAUUGUCAUCCAAUAAUAACCUGCCCUCAGCAACUUCUUUACCAUUGCAUUCCCCCUAGCAUGGGUACCGAACGAUCCUUCAUGAACCUCUUUCAUCAAUUGGCUUGCUUCUUUAUCAUCAACACAUCUGAGCAAGAUCCAAUCGAAAUUCCUCU